AUCCAUAGUUUUUUAAUUAAAAGCUGGAAUGAAAGAUUAAAUGAAAUACCCACCUUUUAGAUUUUAUAUAUAAAAUUUUUUUUAUUAAUUAAAAAAUUAAUUUGAAUUAAAAAGACGAGAAGACCCUAUAGAUUUUAAUUAAUUUAUAAAAAAAAAUUUAAUAAUUUUUUUUUAUUUAUUUUAUAAAUUAAUUUAGUUGGGGUAAUAAAUAAAUUUAUAAAAUUUUAUUAUAUAAAACCAAAAAUUAUUGAUUAAUUGAUCUUGAAUUUUAGAUUUAAAGAAUAAAAUACCUUAGGGAUAACAGCAUAAUUUUAUUAGAAAGUUCUUAUUGAUAAUAAAUUUUGUGACCUCGAUGUUGAAUUAAGAUAAAAUUUAAAUGGAAAAAUUUAAAAUUUUGGU
rnacentral:rRNA from 1 species